rnacentral:piRNA from 1 species
UGAGGAAUGUUGGAGUUAGCGGAGCUGC